GCACUGCUGAGGAAUCCCAAACUAGGACGAAAUAGCUGUCCAGUAC
rnacentral:hammerhead_ribozyme from 1 species